UAGUGGCGGACGGGUGAGUAACACGUGAGCAACCUGCCUCUGAGGAGAGGGAUAGACUUCUGGAAACGGAUCGGUAAUACCUCAUAACAUAUCGAAACCGCAUGAUUUUGAAUAUCAAAGAUUUAUCACUCAGAGAUGGGCUCGCGUCUGAUUAGGAUAGUUGGUGAGGUAAACGGGCUCACCAAGUCGACGAUCAGUAGCCGGACUGAGAGGUUGAACGGCCACAUUGGGACUGAGACACGGCCCAGACUCCUACGGGAGGCAGCAGUGGGGAAUAUUGCACAAUGGGGGAAACCCCUUGAUGCAGCGAUGCCGCGUGGAGGAAGAAGGGUUUUCGGAUUGUAAACUCCUGUCUUAAAGGACGAUAAUGACGGUACUUUAGGAGGAAGCUCCGGCUAACUACGUGCCAGCCGCCGC
rnacentral:rRNA from 1 species